rnacentral:tRNA from 1 species
GCCCGACUAGCUCAGUUGGUAGAGCAUGAGACUCUUAAUCUCAGGGUUGUGGGUUCAAGCCCCACCUUGUGUC